AACGAACGCUGGCGGCAUGCCUAACACAUGCAAGUCGAACGAGACCUUCGGGUCUAGUGGCGCACGGGUGCGUAACGCGUGGGAACCUGCCCUUAGGUUCGGAAUAACUCCCCGAAAGGGGUGCUAAUACCGGAUAAUGUCUUCGGACCAAAGAUUUAUCGCCUUUGGAUGGGCCCGCGUUGGAUUAGCUAGUUGGUAGGGUAAAGGCCUACCAAGGCGACGAUCCAUAGCUGGUCUGAGAGGAUGAUCAGCCACACUGGGACUGAGACACGGCCCAGACUCCUACGGGAAGCAGCAGUGGGGAAUAUUGGACAAUGGGCGAAAGCCUGAUCCAGCAAUGCCGCGUGAGUGAUGAAGGCCUUAGGGUUGUAAAGCUCUUUUACCCGGGAUGAUAAUGACAGUACCGGGAGAAUAAGCUCCGGCUAACUCCGUG
rnacentral:rRNA from 1 species